rnacentral:tRNA from 3 species
GGCGUCGUACCCAAGCGGUGAAGGGAACGGUCUGCAAAACCGUGAUGCAGCGGUUCGAGUCCGCUCGACGCCUCCA